GGGUUGUGAGGUUAAGCGACUAAGCGUACACGGUGGAUGCCCUGGCAGUCAGAGGCGAUGAAGGGCGUACUAAUCUGCGAUAAGCGCCGGUAAGGUGAUAUGAACCGUUAUAACCGGCGAUACCCGAAUGGGGAAACCCAGUGUGAUUCGUCACACUAUCAUUAACUGAAUCCAUAGGUUAAUGAGGCGAACCGGGGGAACUGAAACAUCUAAGUACCCCGAGGAAAAGAAAUCAACCGAGAUUCCCCCAGUAGCGGCGAGCGAACGGGGAGGAGCCCAGAGCCUGAAUCAGCAUGUGUGUUAGUGGAAGCGUCUGGAAAGGCGCGCGAUACAGGGUGACAGCCCCGUACACAAAAGCGCAUGUGCUGUGAGCUCGAUGAGUAGGGCGGGACACGUGGUAUCCUGUCUGAAUAUGGGGGGACCAUCCUCCAAGGCUAAAUACUCCUGACUGACCGAUAGUGAACCAGUACCGUGAGGGAAAGGCGAAAAGAACCCCGGCGAGGGGAGUGAAAAAGAACCUGAAACCGUGUACGUACAAGCAGUGGGAGCACCCUUUGGGUGUGACUGCGUACCUUUUGUAUAAUGGGUCAGCGACUUAUAUUCUGUAGCAAGGUUAACCGAAUAGGGGAGCCGGAGGGAAACCGAGUCUUAAUUGGGCGUUAAGUUGCAGGGUAUAGACCCGAAACCCGGUGAUCUAGCCAUGGGCAGGUUGAAGGUUGGGUAACACUAACUGGAGGACCGAACCGACUAAUGUUGAAAAAUUAGCGGAUGACCUGUGGCUGGGGGUGAAAGGCCAAUCAAACCGGGAGAUAGCUGGUUCUCCCCGAAAGCUAUUUAGGUAGCGCCUCGUGAAUUCAUCUCCGGGGGUAGAGCACUGUUUCGGCUAGGGGGCCAUCCCGGCUUACCAACCCGAUGCAAACUGCGAAUACCGGAGAAUGUUAUCACGGGAGACACACGGCGGGUGCUAACGUCCGUCGUGAAGAGGGAAACAACCCAGACCGCCAGCUAAGGUCCCAAAGUCAUGGUUAAGUGGGAAACGAUGUGGGAAGGCCCAGACAGCCAGGAUGUUGGCUUAGAAGCAGCCAUCAUUUAAAGAAAGCGUAAUAGCUCACUGGUCGAGUCGGCCUGCGCGGAAGAUGUAACGGGGCUAAACCAUGCACCGAAGCUGCGGCAGCGACACUGUGUGUUGUUGGGUA
rnacentral:rRNA from 1 species